AACGAACGCUGGCGGCAGGCCUAACACAUGCAAGUCGAGCGAGAUCUUCGGAUCUAGCGGCGGACGGGUGAGUAACGCGUGGGAACGUACCCUCUUCUGCGGGAUAGCCACUGGAAACGGUGAGUAAUACCGCAUACGCCCUUCGGGGGAAAGAUUUAUCGGAGGAGGAUCGGCCCGCGUUGGAUUAGGUAGUUGGUGGGGUAAUGGCCUACCAAGCCUACGAUCCAUAGCUGGUUUUAGAGGAUGAUCAGCCACACUGGGACUGAGACACGGCCCAGACUCCUACGGGAGGCAGCAGUGGGGAAUCUUAGACAAUGGGCGCAAGCCUGAUCUAGCCAUGCCGCGUGAGUGACGAAGGCCUUAGGGUCGUAAAGCUCUUUCGCCUGUGAUGAUAAUGACAGUAGC
rnacentral:rRNA from 1 species